AUAGAUAUCUGCAGAGGGCCAACUGGAAACACUGUAUCUGCCCUCUAGGAAACCAGCUAGGAGAGUUGUGUACUUACGGAGGGAUGGAGUUACAAAAGGUAACCCCUGAGACUGCGGGAUUCUACUCUCGACGAGAACGACCCUCGGAUGAGAGAGCAGCCCAGGGGCACGCAGGCCGACCUGUCUUAGAGAUCACGGAUGGCGGCACGACUUUUGGGGAGAGUCAACCCAACCAACACGGUCCGGGCAGGCCUGAGGCUGGGAUGCUGUGCUGCUUUUCCCGGACUCCGCCUGGGGUUUCCUCAUCCUGUUUGGCGCUUUGCGACUCCUGGCAUCUGGAGACGUUCCCGUCGACCCCGUGGAGAGGUCAGGCCGGAGCCUCAGAACCCUGACACCCAUGGACUGCCGCGGAGGGCUCCUGCUUUUCUAAGCCUCGGGGACUGGUUUCUAAGACAACCGUGGAACCACUGUGAUGGGAAAAGCCACUCGCGCCUCGCCCAGGAGCAUUGGCUGGGCGGACUCGCGCUCCGCUCCUGGCAGUCAGGCUGCGUCCCCUUUAAAUAAUGGCAGCGCUGCGGGGUGGCAGCGAGGCUCCUGCUGCAGCCGCGGAGUCGGCUGCAUCCGGGGUCCAAUUUGAGGCAGCGUGGGAGAGGGGCCCCGGGUAUAUUGUCCCAGGGCAAAAGCCCCAGGAGUCCUGUCCUCAGGACCUCCUUGAGCCGACUUCCACCGAUGGAGCGGGAGCUUCAGGAGGCUUGCUGUGUUCUCAGGACUCCCCUUCAGAUCCAUUUUGGCCUGCUGAAUGAGAUAGGAUGGGCUCACUACAUCUGGUGAGGCCGUAGGGCCUCGCUGCAGCACAGAAUAAUCCCAUAAGUCUCAAGGCCUAGUGUCAGCUGCACUUUCACUGAUCCAUCAGCCCUCUGCUUCCUUCCUCCUUUGAAAGAGCAGUGGCCUGCCCCGCUUCUAAAAGCCCUGGGGCUCCGGAAAGCCGACCGCGCUUUAUGGGACUGGUAGAAAGAGGAUCAGGGGUGAAUCCGAGAUGGAGACCAUGUGACCACGCGUGGCACUGGUGUAUCCCACAGCAGAUGGUGUGAAUGUGUGUCACCGGAGGCAUACAUUGUGAUGGCGAAACCAACAAUGGUGUCCAGGAAUGUGCCCGGUCGAAGGGGGGAAUGAGUGACCUUUCCAUCAAUGCCAAGGAAAAUCAAAGAACACCUGGGAACGAGGAGGGUGCCUGUGCCUUAGUCCAAGCCACAUUUUGAAAUGCCUGCCAGAGGAUUAAAGAGGUUUUGGCAAAAUUCACCCCACCCCCAACCCUCCAUGGCCCAGGUAGCCCUGACCCAACCUCCCCUGCAACCAGCCGCAGACCCAGCCCCAGCCCCAGCCCAGUCCCUUUGGUUCCUUUCCCCGACAUUCGUUAUGGUCAAAAGAUCCAGAGACUCAGUCCACCCAGGAGCAGAGGAGAGGAUGUCUCUCACGAAUGAGACAUGAAGUGCAGAGGAAAUGCGACACCACCUGUCCUAGAAGACAAGGUCUGUCACGGUCGACUAGCGCUCAUUCCAGGCAAUCCACCCACCCAUGAGGUGAAACACGGAGAGGAAGGAAGCUUCCCUGUCUGAGAGAAGUAUGGAAGCCAAGAGCUCCAGGGUCGUCUAUCCUGCCCCAUCAAGCAGAAACAGGUUGAAAGAGAUAAACGAUCACGACAGGGAUCUCCAGUAAGUGUCUACCUGACGGACUGGGUUGUGAUCAUUGUUGAAGACAUUCAGCGAGAGCGAGAGGCAUCUAGGCCCCUCAGAAACAGGGGAGACAGAGCAAGAGGCAGGACAAAGCAGAGGCCAAAGCCCAGGCAGGAUACAGCACUGUGCCACUGCCACGGCCAUGAGGGGAGGGGUACCAAAAAGGUGGCUUUUCCAGAAAGGCCAGCGUUCCAGUGACUAUCUGUGAAAAUGCUUUGUGAUGCGUGGGUUAUCCCUCAGAGUUAAACAUUUGUUUUGACUUAGCAGUUUGGAAACACUCUUUUUUAAGAAUCAAUGAAGGGAUAUUUUGAAGCCCAUGGAUGAGUAUAUUGAGAAACUAAAUAUCCCACCAUAGAAACUAGCAAGAAAUUAUUAGUGAAAAUGCUCUGUGAUGUGUGGAUUCAUCUCACAGAGUUAGACUUUUGUUUUUAUUCUGCAGGUUUCAAACACUUUUUUGUGGAAUCUACAAAGGAACAUUUCAGAGCCCACAGAGGCCUAUAGUGAAAACUGAAUAUCUUGUGAUAAAAGCUAGAAACAAGCUAUCUGUGAAAAUGUUUGUGAUGUGUGGAUUUAUCUCAUAGAGUUAUACCUAUGUUUAUAUACAGCAGGUUGGAAACACUCUUUUAGUAGAAUUUAAAAUAAGAAAUUUCUGAGUCCUUGAGGCCUAUUAUAAAGAAAUGAAUAUCCCUGAUAAAAACUGACAACAAAUUAUCUGUGAAAAUGCUUUGAGAUAUGUGGAUUCAUCUCGCAAAGUUAAACCCUUGUUUUGGUUCAGAAGGUUGAAAAUACUCUUUUUGUAAUAUCUAUGAAGGGAUAUUUUGGAGCCCAUAGAGGCCUAUACUAAAAACCAAAUAUCCCAGGAUAAAAACUAGAAACAAGGUAUGUGAGAAAAUGUUUUGCAAUGUGUAGAAUCAUCUCACAGAGUUAAACCUUGUUUUGAUUGGGCAGGUUGGAAACAUUCUUUUUGUAGAAUAAAAGAAGGGACAUUUUGGAGCUCAUUGAGGCCUAUAGUGAAAAACCACAUAUGCCAUGAUAAAAACUAGAACAAGCUAUCUGUAAAAAUCUUUUGCAAUGUGUGGUUUCAUCUCACAGAGUUUAACCUUUAUUUUGACUUAGCGCUUUGGAAACACUAUUUUUCUAGAAUCUGCAAGGGUACAUUUCAAACCCAAUGAGGCCUGUAGUAAAAAACUGAAUAUCCCACGAUGAAAACUAGAAACUAGCUAUCUGUGAAAAUGCUUUGAGAUGUGUGGAUUCAUCUAAUGGAGUUGAAUGUUAGUUUUGAUUCAGCAGGUUGGAAACUUAGCAGUUUGGAAACAUUCAUUUUGUAGAAUCAAAGAGGGGACUUUUCUUAGCCCCCUGAGGCCUAUAGUGAAAAAUCAAAUAUCCCGUGAUAAAAACUAGAAACAAGUUAUCUGUAAAAAUGCUUUGCAAUUUGUGGAUUUGUCUCACAAUGUUAAACCUUUGUUUUGAUUUAGUAGGUUGGAAACUCUCUUUUUGUACAAUUGAUGAGGAGAUAUUUCAAAGCCCAUUGAUUGAGGCUUGUAGUGAAAAACCUAAAAUCCUAAUAAACACUAUAAAGAAGCUGUCUCUGAAAA